GAGACCGGGCGUCUAUUAAGCGCAUGCGCGCUUCCUCCUCCAUCCUCUGAUUUUCUUCUUAAAGAGACCCGAAGGAGGCCCAGGUAGGAGCUUCUCCGUUCCUCUUUCUCUCUUACGGAGGUGGGGACGUGUAAUAGCUUGGCCUGCUGCCAACGGAUCACGUGGCCCAAGUUGUCCCCUUUGUAUAUGCAGCAAAGGGGCAGGUUGCUCCAACCGCUGUUAUGAGGUAAUACUGAAAGAUUAUGUCCACUAUGGUGUACCCAAGGGAGGAGAAAAUGGACAAGCUAAGCCAAGAAGAGAUUAUCUCCAACACUAAGCUGGUGAUGCAAGGGCUGGAGGCCCUUAAAAAUGAGCAUAACUCGAUCUUGCACAGCCUACUAGAGACUAUCAAGUGUCUGAAGAAGGAUGAAGAAGCCAAUCUAGUACACGAGAAAGCCAACCUGCUGCGCAAGUCAGUGGAGAUGAUUGAGUUAGGACUUGGAGAAGCUCAGGUGAGCUAUAUUUUGUACAUGGAUCAAAAAAAGCAACCAAACACAGACAAUCAAACAUAAGGAUUCAAAUACACUGUCUAGAGCAGACAUGCGUACUAAGUAGAAACAUAAACAAAAGCAUACCUUUUGUCUAUGAAGUGCAGAACAAUCAAACUAGCAGGCACAAAACACAUUGGUAAAUA